GCUCAGUCCUCCAGGCGUCGGUGCUCAGCGGUGUUGGAACCUCGUUGCUUGCUUGCCUGUGCGCGCGUGCGCGAACAUGGCCUCAAACGAUUAUACCCAACAAGCAACCCAAAGUUAUGGGGCCUACCCCACCCAGCCCGGGCAGGGCUAUUCCCAGCAGAGCAGUCAGCCCUACGGACAGCAGAGUUACAGCACUUAUAGCCAGUCCACGGACACUUCAGGCUAUGGCCAGAGCAGCUAUUCUUCUUACGGCCAGAGCCAGAACAGUGAGUCUCUGUCAGCGGGUCACCUCUUCCUACUCUUUCUGAAUAUUGCUUUUCUUUUUUUUUGGAGACGGAGUAUGGUCCUGUUGCUCAGGCUGGAGUGCAAGGGUGCUAUCUCAGCUCACUGCAACAUCAGCCUACCGGGUUCACACGAUUCUCCUGCCUCAGCCUCCUGAGUAGCUGGGAUUACAGGCAUCUGCUACCACGCCCGGCUAAUUUUUGUGUUUUUAGUAGAGAUGGGGUUUCACCGUGUUGGACAGGCUGGUCUGGAACUCCUGACCUCCUGCCUGCCUUGGCCUCCCAAAGUGCUGGGAUUACAGGCGUGAGCCACAGUGCCCUGAAUGUUGCUUUUCUUAAACCUGAGCAGCACUGAAAUGUUGAAACUGUUUCAUAUUUUUUUUCCCUGAAACAGUGUAUAAUUCUUAAAACUCUUUGGGGUCUGAGUCCUUUACAGGGCAUUGUGGCACACCUGUAGUCCCAGCUACUGAGGAGGCUGAGGCGGGAGGAUCCCUUGAAUUCAGGAGUUUGGUGCUGCAGUGAGCUAUGAUGGUGCCUGUGAACAGCCACUGCAUUCCAGCCUGGGCAGUGUGUUGAGGUCCCAUCUCAAAAACAAAACCAAAAACAAAACAAAAAUGUUUAUUGGUUUGUGAUUCUGUUUCCAUUUAUUUUCUUUGGCUUUU
rnacentral:sRNA from 1 species